UACAUUGUGGAUACAAAUGCACAUGGAGUUUAGUUAGUGGGAGAAGCUCCCAACCUAAACACUUUGAGACACAAAUAGUCAAGUGAAACCAAUUGAUUCGCUUAAAUUUCGAUGCAUCCGUGGUCUAUUUAAAAAUGCACGAAGAAAAGAAGUGCUUGCAGACAGCAGAGGACGAUAAUGUAUCAAAGCUUGGCGUGACAGAGCAAGGCCUAACUGAAGAAGAGGUUGCAGUUUAUGAUCGUCAAAUCAGGUUAUGGGGCGUUGAAUCACAGAGAAGAUUGAGGAAGUCAAGAAUUUUGAUAUGUGGCCUUAGUGGCUUGGGAAAUGAGGUAUCUAAGAACAUCAUUCUGGCUGGUGUUCAGCAUCUCACUGUUAUGGAUAACACAGAGGUAACAAAAGAGAACAGGAGAGAACUUUUUCUCCCUAGCAAAAACAGUAUUGGACAAAAUAAAGCUGAUGCUGUCUAUCCCCGGUUGCAUGAAAUGAAUCCAAUGGUAGAUUUGCAUGCAUACAAUGAAGACAUUUCUUCAAAGCCUGAAUCAUUCUUUGAGAAUUUUGAUGUGGUCUGUUUGCUUGAUCAACGGAAAGAUGUACAGCUCAAGGUCAAUGAAAUAUGCCACAAAAAGAACAUCAAGUUUUUAUCAGGCUGUGUCUUUGGGCACUAUGGAUAUAUGUUUUCAGACCUUGGAAAACACCACUUUGUGGAGGAGAAAGUUAGGGUUGAUACAGGAUCCGUGAAAAAAUCAAAUGAGCCAGCAGCCAAAAGACAAAAGUUAGAGUCAAGGGCAGAUGAAGAUGUUCAUGAAAUGGUACACAAGGCCAUAGAGUUCAAGAAUUUUCAAAGUGCAGUGUCCCCGAAGGCCAUUCAUGGAUUGUCCCUUAAACAGCUGAAAAGUAUUUCAAAAACCUACUUCGUCAUGCAAGUUAUGCUAGAGUUCAGCAUGGCAAAAGGCAGAUUCCCUAGAGUUGAGCAUAAAGGAAAAGAUUGGAAAGAUCUCCUAGAUAUUAGAGAUUCAAUUUUUGAAGAAAUGCAAAUCGACAACGACAUGUUGCCUGACGAAUUCGUAAGUCAUUGCAUUGGUGAAGUUACUGCUGUCAGUUGCAUUGUGGGUGGAAUUCUGGCUCAAGAAAUUAUUAAAGCCGUGUCAGGACGAGACUCGCCUCACAAUAACUUUUUCUUCUAUGAUGGGGUAGAUAGUACGGGACUUGUUGAUAACAUCGGAACUGACUGAAUACAGUCUUCGGUCGUGUAAAACGAGCCUUCCUAAUGCUAUUUACCAAGUGUGUUCAAGAAAGGGAAAUCAUUUAAAAGAUUGUGCCUUUGGAAAAUUCACAGACUAAUCGUUUCAGAUUGUAACACAACGUUGUCUGAGCAACACCACUUUGAGAAGCGCACGUCAAUCUAGAGUUUGCGAUCUUCUACUAUGACAGAUGAGAUUUUCAUCGUUUGAUGUGAGGUUUUCAUGAAAUCACGAGACUGUAUCGAUUUCAUCUAACUCUUCGAAUCUUCUUGGAAUAGUGAUAUCGAGGCAAGAUCAUGAUGUCGCGUUUGUUUACAAACUCGCUUUUGCUGUUUUCGUUGUAUAUAGAGUUUAUUCUUAUUAUUUCUAUUACGGACACUUACGCUAGACGUAGGUCGCGUUCCGCAUUGCGACCAGAGGACCUGAAAACUAGUGAUGAGUUCCUUGAAAAAUUCAUCAAUGACUACAACCCACAGCGUCAGUUUUGUCGCGGGAAAUUUAUCAAGCAGGUCAUAUCUCAUCCUGGUUGUAUUUCAAAGCCGAUUGUCAACAAAAUGUGCUACGGCAUGUGCAAAUCUGCGUAUGUGCCAGAAGAUAGCAAGGACGUUAAGCCACGCAAGGCCCUCUGUGUGCAAUGCCAGCCAGCAUCGAUGAUUUGGACUACAGUCGUCUUGAACUGCCCGAAACGAAAGGAAAGGGUUAUCAUGAAGAAAGUUCGUAAAAUUCGCAAAUGCCAUUGCUGGUCAGAUAAGAUUCAGGUGCCGCUUAUGGUGAUACCUGACCCAAAAUCGGUCAUGAAAGUAAUGGCCUGGCUUAAAGGUUUCAAAUAAGCCCCACAAGUUGAUACCAGUCGAAGUAGCUAUAACGGGUAUUUGUACACAAGAGUUUUUUGUUACUUGCCACAAAAGCUUCUUCUGAAUAGUUAUAUGGUGAUCUAGCUGGAAGCAGUAUACCUAACAAGUGAAUGCUGUUAACUGUGGCAAUAAUUUAAUGUCGAGACGAAAGUUUGUUAUCAGUUUUACUCUACGAAAGAAUCGAGUAAGUUCAAUCAAACUAGAAAUUGAUGCAAUAUUUACUGUAUUUUUGAUAGCGUGUCUGGUCGAAUCUGUAUGCUUGGAUAUGCCUUUGCAGUUGCAGUAUAUACGGGACAUUUCAGUGGCUUUUAGCAGCACUGUUAGUAAGGCAGGAAGAUAAAGGCUUGCUGAAUGAUGAACUAAAGUCUUGGUUUCCUCCUUCAAAGGCUCAAAAAACUUGAUUGACUUCUGAGAGAUCUUGUAGAUGCGUAGCUAUAUUUCUGCUUAUGUAUUUACAAACCUUUAUAAGACUUUUAUGAGACGUAAUGUUGCUUUGGCUCUUCAUUCUCGGUCUUUAGAGUAUUUUUUCCUUGACAACGAUUCUACGAGCGUCUGCAUUUUUUCAACGGUAAGCCUUUCUGUAUAAAGCAAUACCUUUCCCUUCAUCCUUUUUGUCCCUAUUGAUAAAUUUCGAUUUCAUGCUUUUCAAUGUUGCUGGAAUACUGCAAUAUUCACUAGCAUACGAGGAGCGACGAGAAUUUUUGGUUAAUCAUAUGAGCAAAUUUAUUCCAUCUCUCAACCCAUAACUUGACUGGUGGGGCGAAAUCAUCGAAUGUUUACAUGUAGAUUCUUUCCCAACUUCCAACUCUAUAUAGGGAACAAGUUGGACGAAAUUUCAUCGUGUUUAUAUGAAAAUUUCAUCCCAUCUUCCAGCUUCAUCUCACCUAUCAGCGUUUAUAUGGAAAAAUUAAAUCCGUGUCAGUGAGAUCCCACCUCUCAUGCAGUGAGAUCUCACUUAACCGAGCUGGCUUGUUUUCCAUUUAAACGCAAGGCAAAAAAACGCAAAAGACUCUAUAGAAAAAUGGGAUCUCACCCUUCAGCUCACAGGCUGGAAGGUGGGAUGAUUUUCUCCAUAUAGACAGGCCAGUGGUGGCGCUAGUGGGGGCUACAGCCCCUCUGUCGGAAGCAUCUAGCCCCCCCCCCCAUCGUAGGAAAUUUUAGGUUAUUGUCGGAGCAAAUUUGACAAAAUAACGUACGAAAGCUGCUUAUUUUAAUCAUUUUAGCCCCCCUGUUGGAAGCUCCAGCCCCUCUGUCGGAAGAUUUCUGGCGCCACCUCUGAGACAGGCCCUAAGUAUACAAUUUUAAAUAUUCUAAGGUACUGCAGCUCCUAACCCCCUCCCCUCCUACGGUUAUGUUUCCAGAUUUCAUUGCUCAGUGGUUACUAUUCGAUCGUUAAUAUGUCGUUCGCUUUUAAUUGCAACAUGCCAUUUCCAAAAAAACUUUUCGUCACUCCCUAGAGCUUGUUUUAUAGCGCUAUUGUCAGUGGUAACGUGACUGUAAGCACACGACGCUUUUUCCUUUUAAGCAGCAAGAAAAAAUUGUUUGUUUAUUUGUAUCAAAGAACACAAAUUUCUUCUUUCCAAAUUAUUGAACUUCAAUAUUAUUCCUUCUUGUGAGGCCUUCGUAUUGUAAAAAAGUAAUUUUGUUUUAUAAUAUAAUUCACUGAUAUGUAUUUUAUCAUUAAAUGUGAAUGAAAA